GUGGAGAUGGCAUUCCUCCUUAACCGCCCCCAGGGCUGAUGAUGCCUGCGC
rnacentral:ncRNA from 1 species